rnacentral:rRNA from 1 species
GACGAACGCUGGCGGCGUGCUUAACACAUGCAAGUCGAACGGUGAAGCGCCUACCUUUUUGGUGGGUGUGGAUGAGUGGCGAACGGGUGAGUAACACGUGAGUAACCUGCCCCCUUCUUCUGGAUAACCGCAUGAAAGUGUGGCUAAUACGGGAUAUUCUGGGUCUGUCGCAUGAUGGGUCUGGGAAAGAUAUUGUUUCGGUGGGGGAUGGGCUCGCGGCCUAUCAGCUUGUUGGUGGGGUGAUGGCCUACCAAGGCGGUGACGGGUAGCCGGCCUGAGAGGGUGGACGGUCACACUGGGACUGAGACACGGCCCAGACUCCUACGGGAGGCAGCAGUGGGGAAUAUUGCACAAUGGGCGCAAGCCUGAUGCAGCGACGCCGCGUGAGGGAUGGAGGCCUUCGGGUUGUGAACCUCUUUCGCCAGUGAAGCAGGCCUGCCUCGUUUGUGGGUGGGUUGACGGUAGCUGGAGAAGAAGCGCCGGCUAACUACGUG